rnacentral:rRNA from 1 species
GACGAACGCUGGCGGCGUGCCUAAUACAUGCAAGUCGUGCGGACCUUGUUGAAAGCUUGCUUUUAAAAGGUUAGCGGCGGACGGGUGAGUAACACGUGGGCAACCUGCCUGUAAGACUGGGAUAACGCCGGGAAACCGGGGCUAAUACCAGAUCGUUUUUUCCUCCGCAUGGAGGAAAAAGGAAAGGCGGCUUCGGCUGCCACUUACAGAUGGGCCCGCGGCGCAUUAGCUAGUUGGCGGGGUAAUGGCCCACCAAGGCAACGAUGCGCAGCCGACCUGAGAGGGUGAUCGGCCACAUUGGGACUGAGACACGGCCCAAACUCCUACGGGAGGCAGCAGUAGGGAAUCUUCCGCAAUGGACGAAAGUCUGACGGAGCAACGCCGCGUGAGUGAAGAAGGCCUUCGGGUCGUAAAACUCUGUUGCCGGGGAAGAACAAGUGCCGUUCGAACAGGGCGGCGCCUUGACGGUACCCGGCCAGAAAGCCACGGCUAACUACGUG